rnacentral:piRNA from 1 species
UGGGUGAGCAGGUCCAGGUGGCAUUCGUCG